rnacentral:rRNA from 1 species
AUUGAACGCUGGCGGCAGGCCUAACACAUGCAAGUCGAGCGGAUGACGGGAGCUUGCUCCUUGAUUCAGCGGCGGACGGGUGAGUAAUGCCUAGGAAUCUGCCUGGUAGUGGGGGACAACGUUUCGAAAGGAACGCUAAUACCGCAUACGUCCUACGGGAGAAAGCAGGGGACCUUCGGGCCUUGCGCUAUCAGAUGAGCCUAGGUCGGAUUAGCUUGUUGGUGAGGUAAUGGCUCACCAAGGCGACGAUCCGUAACCGGUCUGAGAGGAUGAUCAGUCACACUGGAACUGAGACACGGUCCAGACUCCUAUGGGAGGCAGCAGUGGGGAAUAUUGGACAAUGGGCGAAAGCCUGAUCCAGCCAUGCCGCGUGUGUGAAGAAGGUCUUCGGAUUGUAAAGCACUUUAAGUUGGGAGGAAGGGUUGUAGAUUAAUACUCUGCAAUUUUGACGUUACCGACAGAAUAAGCACCGGCUAACUCUGUGCCAGCCGCCGCAGUAAUAC